rnacentral:rRNA from 1 species
UACGUAGGGUGCGAGCGUUGUCCGGAAUUACUGGGCGUAAAGAGCUCGUAGGUGGUUUGUCGCGUUUGUCCGUGAAAACUCACAGCUCAACUGUGGGCGUGCGGGCGAUACGGGCAGACUGGAGUACUGCAGGGGAGACUGGAAUUCCUGGUGUAGCGGUGGAAUGCGCAGAUAUCAGGAGGAACACCGGUGGCGAAGGCGGGUCUCUGGGCAGUAACUGACGCUGAGGAGCGAAAGCGUGGGGAGCGAACAGG